rnacentral:rRNA from 1 species
GUGCCAGCCGCCGCGGUAAUACGGAGGGGGUUAGCGUUGUUCGGAAUUACUGGGCGUAAAGCGCACGUAGGCGGAUCAGAAAGUUGGGGGUGAAAUCCCGGGGCUCAACCCCGGAACUGCCUCCAAAACUACUGGUCUAGAGUUCGAGAGAGGUGAGUGGAAUUCCGAGUGUAGAGGUGAAAUUCGUAGAUAUUCGGAGGAACACCAGUGGCGAAGGCGGCUCACUGGCUCGAUACUGACGCUGAGGUGCGAAAGUGUGGGGAGCAAACAGGAUUAGAAACCCUGGUAGUCC